AGCCAUGCCUUCUCCUAAAGCAACUGAUGUUGGGAGAGAGAGCAUGUUGUAGGGAGGUAUUUCCGGUCUGACGGAAGCUUAGGGUAAGAGAGGCAAGUCACAAGAGUAGCUAGGCUUCGAGAUGGAUUUUAGGGACUUCUACAAUAAGACCUAUUUUCCUUCCCAAUUUGCUGGCGUUGUGUUUAUCACUUUUCAGGCGAUGCCCGAGGCGGUAUUUGGAAGCCCCGUGAUUCAAAAACAACCAGGAUCUCCCUCAGUCCUCUUCAGUCUGUGACCCAGGACAGAUGUCCAGCCGGCCAGCCUCCGACACUUAAGACUAUCGGCUCGGCGUACUGGCGGGCACGAACCCCAGACCUGAACCAAGUCAGGCCGCAUUCUUCCACAACGAUACACUGAAUAUUGCAUCCAGGAGAUGAUCCGGGCCACAUCAGAGGAGGCUAAAGUUUUGUGGGUCCUGUCUCUCUGCUGCCGCUUCUUUUGAUCAGCUUUUCAACUUCGUGUCUUCCAUCUACGCAGAUGAGGCCUAAGGCUUAAAAGUUGUGUUGGUUACGUGGCGGCGAUCCUUCGUUAUCCGAGGGAUGGAGGUUUAACGCUUGGAGGUUUUUGCCUCAGUGUGUUUCUGAGCC